rnacentral:piRNA from 1 species
UCAGAAGGUCAGUCUCCUUACCAUGGAC